rnacentral:rRNA from 1 species
CACGUAGGGCGCGAGCGUUGUCCGGAAUUAUUGGGCGUAAAGAGCUCGUAGGCGGCCUGUUGCGUCCGCUGUGAAAGCCCGGGGCUUAACCCCGGGUCUGCAGUGGAUACGGGCAGGCUAGAGGUAGGUAGGGGAGAAUGGAAUUCCUGGUGUAGCGGUGAAAUGCGCAGAUAUCAGGAAGAACACCCGUGGCGAAGGCGGCUCUCUGGGACGGUACUGACGCUGAGACGCGAAAGCGUGGGGAGCGAACAGG